GAGAGAGAGAGAGAGAGACAAUUUGGUACGAAGUUUAGACCCAAAAGUUUGUUGGGGUUCGGCAUCCUCUUGCGAUGGCUUUGAGAGGUGUGUGGCAGCUGAAAAAACUGGUUGUGAGCUAUUCUGAUAGGGGAGGAAGCAGUAGGGGAAUCAGGUCAUUUAUGGAGUCACAUCUACCGACCUUUAAGGAAAAGAAUCCUCCGCUAGAGGUGGUUAUUGAACAUAUUCGUGGACAGCAUCCUCAUUUGAAGGGCUUAUACAAUAAUCAAAAUGAAAGGGUGGUGUGUGUGAAGAAUAUGGAUCCAGAAGAAGUUCAUCAAUGUGCAACCAGGCUAAGGAAUUCACUGGGAAGGAAAGUGGUGAAACUGAGGACUAGACAUGUAACCAAACAUCCAAGUGUGCAAGGUACCUAGACGACAGACAUCAAAUUUUGA